UACGGGGGGGGCAAGCGUUGUUCGGAAUUACUGGGCGUAAAGGGCUCGUAGGCGGCCAACUAAGUCCGACGUGAAAUCCCCAGGCUUAACCUGGGAACUGCGUCGGAUACUGGAUGGCUUGAAUUCGGGAGAGGGAUGCAGAAUUCAUGGUGUAGCAGUGAAAUGCGUAGAUAUCAUGAGGAAUACCAGAGGCGAAGGCGGCUACCUGGACAAUUGCUGACGCUCAGGCACGAAAGCGUGGGGAGCAAAAGGG
rnacentral:rRNA from 1 species